AUUGAACGCUGGCGGCAGGCCUAACACAUGCAAGUCGAACGGUAACAGGAAGAAGCUUGCUUCUUUGCUGACGAGUGGCGGACGGGUGAGUAAUGUCUGGGAAACUGCCUGAUGGAGGGGGAUAACUACUGGAAACGGUAGCUAAUACCGCAUAACGUCGCAAGACCAAAGAGGGGGACCUUCGGGCCUCUUGCCAUCGGAUGUGCCCAGAUGGGAUUAGCUAGUAGGUGGGGUAACGGCUCACCUAGGCGACGAUCCCUAGCUGGUCUGAGAGGAUGACCAGCCACACUGGAACUGAGACACGGUCCAGACUCCUACGGGAGGCAGCAGUGGGGAAUAUUGCACAAUGGGCGCAAGCCUGAUGCAGCCAUGCCGCGUGUAUGAAGAAGGCCUUCGGGUUGUAAAGUACUUUCAGCGGUGAGGAAGGGAGUAAAGUUAAUACCUUUGCUCAUUGACGUUACCCGCAGAAGAAGCACCGGCUAACUCCGUG
rnacentral:rRNA from 1 species